rnacentral:lncRNA from 1 species
UUUUGAUUUUGAACUGACAUUAAUCAAAAACUUUUCUGACAUGGACAUUCUUGUGAGAAGUGAUAUGUCAAUUUUGAAAUUUUUCAGUGAUCAACGUAUUCACAAAUCAUUAACGUUCUUUUUUUCAUACAAUUCGUGAGUGUUAAAACAAUAAUCAAAUCUACAAAGAUUCAGUAAACUUUAGUGAGUGUCUUCACUCGCCAACACCAUCCGACUAGUCGCAUGCCGCCCUCAGCAGUUAUACCGCGCGGGCUGCCUGGCGGGCGCCAGGGCUUCGCACCAGCGGCUCUCGGUCGCGCGCCAGACGAGGUUCCGCGCGUGGCUGCAGCAGAACUCGCCGACCGCCACCUAGCUGACACGGAAGCACCCCGGCAGGGCGCCGAUGUGUUAGUUACCGUCUCUGGGAGAUACGCUGUCGCGAACGACUGAAUUCCUUGCAACACAAACAGUAGCAGCUUUCACUCACCUCAAAUAUCCUCAAAUACACUCAAAUACACUAUUCGCUUGGACGAAGUCCUGAAAUGAGUCCGGUAGUGCAGCUAGGCUCUUUGGGUGUGAACCUCAGAUCGCUUUGAUCCUUUGACUCAGUAUAAACCGUGUAUAAAUAAAGUUGUAUGAAGUGAGGCGAAGUUUGUGACUACACUAUUGUAUUCGUUUCAACUCCGCGAGUAGUGUAUUAGGGGUGUAAAGAUGGUGAAUGUCCGGUGUGACCGCUUUCUGAUUAUUUUGCGAAUAUAACUUACCAAUACUAUUUUUUUUUUUAACCGGUGACAAGCUAGCACUUGCCUGGAAUGUCGCCUGAUUAUUGUUUAUACAUGCCGUCUAAGAUGCUAGCGUCAUUUUUCUGAAUUGCUUUAUAUGUGAUCUUUUGGUACUAUAGUAAGAGCGACUAUGUACCAUCAAGCGAUAAACUUGUUACAUAAAAACUGAACAUAUGCGCUCUAAUGUCUUUGACUAUAUUGUCACUUAACAUCAAGUGAAAUGCAAUGUCUGCAUUAUUGAAAUACAUUUUUUAUAGUCAACGACUAAAUGUUUUAAUAUUUACCAUUAAAAUGCAAAUUAGUAAUGCGAAGUGUUUGUAAAAAUAUGUUCACACAUGAUGGUAAGUGAUGAUGCAAUCUCAGUUGGAAACGCGAGAAGUGCGAUAUUGAGACUGUUCUCAUCAAUGUACAUAAAUGGGUGCUUGGUGUAAACAGAAAAAUAAUUUUUAAAUGUACUUAGGUACAGUCCUAAAAUCUGCUUUUUCCCUCCAAGCGAGUAACUAAAUUUCGUAAAAUAAUUUUAUGCCUAGUUAGAAGCGAAAGUAGCUGUCAUAUUUUUCGUAAUUUACAACACUUAUAUUCUGUCCUAUGUAUGUACAUGGGUGAUUAUUAUUUUUGAUAUACAUACAUGCACGACUGUUUUAUGAUUUUUUACUUCCUGAAAUCUAAUGUUUGAAAAUUCAUAUCAAAAAACAUAUUUAUUUAAAAAGAAUUACAUCGGAAACAUUAAUUUACAGCAUCUUACGUAAAUUAAUAAAUAAAUAUAUUUUUAUUAUGAAAGAAAUUAAAAUUCAUAUCUAAUGAAUUUAUUUUCUAUUGACAUUUUAAUGAAAUUUAUUAAUAAUUUUAAAUUCAUGUGGAAGAUAAUAAAUUUUAUUUGAAUGUUAUCUAUAUUUCGAUGCAAUUAUGUUUGAUCCAAGGUCUAAAGGUUAAAUAUAUUGUAAUAUAAUAUUCAUUUGUGGUCAUUUCACUAUGAGAGUUUUUCUCCCAUCAAAUAUAUAGAUUUUGAUUUCACAUCUUUGACAAUUUAUAUAUAAAGUUUAUUCACAAAACAGUCGCGCUGGUAUUUAGAUAAGUUGGUCGCACAUUGCGGUAGGCGCCGUGCGGUUAAACGCAGCUCUACUUAAGCGUAUACUGAGACGCAUGCUAACAUAGAACCAUACUUACUGUCCAUUUUGUAUCAUAUUACCAGUCAAGUCAUAAAUAACACUAAAUGCAAAGUAAAAUGGACCAAAACUUCAUGCAAAGUUUUACAAGCCAGUGCUUAAUGAUGUACAACAUUAAAAUGUUGUCUAAAAGUCUGUUUUACAGUGCAGCAUAGCUAGUGUAGUGUAAAUGAAGUUGUCUACGUUUAUUUAUUAUUGUGUUUGUCUUUGUAGUAAGCAUACUACAAACAGUGUAUAAAUAUGAAUAGAAUGAAGCUUUAGAAGCGUCAUUACAAUUUUAUGCGUCUUUGCAUACGCUCAAUCUUAAUUUAGUGCGGUUUGACUAGUAAUGUGCAAACAACUUUAUGAAUUUGUGUCUUUUUAUCAAUAACAUGUAUUUAUAAUACACUCCGUUCGCCCCAAUUACAUUAGUAUGUAUAUUUUAUAUGUAUAAGAAUUUUUGUUCAUAAUAAAUACAUUUUUAAUAAAUUUAUAGUAUAUUAUGGUGUAAGUGAACUUAAUUUGAUUGAAGAUUUUUUUUUUUAUUAAUUUCAAGUUUGUUAAAUUUUCCUAUUUGAUUUUUUUUUUUUGCUAAUUUGUUAUUAAGUUGUAUGUUUGUUACAUGAAAUGUAACUUGCGUUGAAAAUUAUUUUGUAAAACUUGCUACAGCAUGUUUUAAUCUGCACUGGAUUUCUUUACCAAUAUUUUUUUUUUAUAAUCUCUACUGAAUAUGUUGUUAUAGUGCACAAGUGUGCUCGAACACAAGUGUAAUUUUUGUAAAUGUGUAAAAUAAUGUUUUUGUUUUGCUUUGUUUCGUAAGAGCCGUUAACAGUAUUUUGGCGGGAAAACGGAGUGUAUGAAUGGGAUCGGUCCUAUAAGGAAAUACAGGGUAUUAACUUGUAUAGUCUCGAAUAAAGAAUGGUCUUGUGAGGAUUUUUAUGAAUGUGCCGCUCAAAAUUUUGGACCGAUUUCAUCCAUGAUGGGCCGAGAGCUCGUGGAAAAUUUUGCGCAAGUGCUGUAUUAAAGAAGAUCACUUUGUAAUAGUUCUUCUGUACAAAUCUAGACUGAGGGAUAGAAAUAUAGCAUUUUUGGGAUUAUUUUGUUGAAACUGCUAAAGAUUGCAGGGAGACAAUUAAACACAUGAAAAAUAUUCUGCAUAUUUUUUUCAUCUAAUUUAAGUUUUGGGGCUGGUACAUCUUGUAAUUUAAUAUUAAAGAAAUUUAAAUGCUUGUGAUCAUUAGAAUAUAGGUUCAUAUGCAAAAUAAUGUCUAGUUUCAGUAUUCUGGUGAAGUAAAGGAGAUAUAUUGCAAUCUUUCAACUUUAUGAAGCACUUAAACGAAUUUCCCCACUGGCUCUUGUACCACAAUCUCUGGGCCACGUUUUAGGGGCCCAGUAUAGGGUCCGAUCGGACCCUAACUACAGGAUUAAUGCUUUUCAGAGAACCUAGAACCUUCCCUUUGUAAAUAUUGUAAACCCUCUGAAAUAAUUAAUCGCGUAGUGUAAAGAUCUCUCUUGUAAAAGUACAGUUGUAUAUAAUGAGUGACAGUGAUUCUGAAGAGUUUACUUGUUGAACCAAUCUUGUUGAUUCGUAUAAAAAAUGAUGACUUGUCGAAAUGAAUAAAUAUUAUUAUAUUUAUAAUAAACAAAA